rnacentral:rRNA from 1 species
AUGUCGAGCCAGUCCGCGAACAUGACCUUGGGGAGCACGGGCGUGUGCGGCCGGAUCGAGGCUACAACGCCGGGGACUGUGAGGUUGCUCGAAUCGUCGGCCAUCGGCGACGACUCCAGCGGCCCUGACGAGCCGGAGAUGGACGGUUGGUUAACGGUGUUGCGUUCGCGGGUGCUGUCGCUGGGCGGCGUGCUCCGGGGCGCGUCCGAGCCGGCGGACUUGGCUGGUGACCGCUCGCCCUCGACGCGCUUCUUCAGAGUUGUGAUGUGUGCUUGGGAUGCUUACUUGUUGCCGAGUGUGGCAUGGAGGCUCAUGACGGUCUCUUCUUCCUCCCGGGAGAACAUGCCGUGCUUCAGCCCCGGCCUCAGGUAG